rnacentral:rRNA from 1 species
GACGAACGCUGGCGGCGUGCUUAACACAUGCAAGUCGAACGGUGAAGCGCCUUCCUUUUUGGUGGGUGUGUAUGAGUGGCGAACUGGUGAGUAACACGUUAGUAACCUUCCCCCUUCUUCUGGAUAACCGCAUGAAAGAGUGGCUAAUACGGGAUAUUCUGAGUCUGUCGCAUGAUUGGUCUGGGAAAGUUUUUGUUUCGGUGGGGGAUGGCCUCGCGGCCCAUAAGCUUGUUGGUGGGGUGAUGGCCUACCAAGGCGGUGAUGGGUAGCCGGCCUGAGGGGGUCGACCGCACCACAGGGACGGCAACACGGACAAGCCUACGACGGGCGGCAGCAGGGGGGAAUACUGAACAAUGGGAGCAAGCAUGAUGCAGCGACGCGGCGGGGGGGAUGGAGGCCUGCGGGUUGUGAACCUCUUUCGCCAGUGAAGCAGGCUUGCCUCGUUUGUGCGUGGGUUGACGGUAGCUGGACAAGAAGCGCCGGCUAACUACGUG